UACGGAGGGUGCAAGCGUUAUCCGGAUUCACUGGGUUUAAAGGGUGCGUAGGCGGCUAGGUAAGUCAGUUGUGAAAUCCUAGAGCUUAACUCUAGAACUGCCAUUGAUACUAUCUGUCUUGAAUAUUGUGGAGGUAAGCGGAAUAUGUCAUGUAGCGGUGAAAUGCUUAGAUAUGACAUAGAACACCUAUUGCGAAGGCAGCUUACUACGCAUAUAUUGACGCUGAGGCACGAAAGCGUGGGGAUCAAACAGG
rnacentral:rRNA from 1 species